rnacentral:rRNA from 1 species
GAUGAACGCUGGCGGCGUGCCUAAUACAUGCAAGUCGAGCGAACAGACGAGGAGCUUGCUCCUCUGACGUUAGCGGCGGACGGGUGAGUAACACGUGGAUAACCUACCUAUAAGACUGGGAUAACUUCGGGAAACCGGAGCUAAUACCGGAUAAUAUAUUGAACCGCAUGGUUCAAUAGUGAAAGACGGUUUUGCUGUCACUUAGAGAUGGAUCCGCGCCGCAUUAGCUAGUUGGUAAGGUAACGGCUUACCAAGGCAACGAUGCGUAGCCGACCUGAGAGGGUGCUCGGCCACACUGGAACUGAGACACGGUCCAGACUCCUACGGGAGGCAGCAGUAGGGAAUCUUCCGCAAUGGGCGAAAGCCUGACGGAGCAACGCCGCGUGAGUGAUGAAGGUCUUCGGAUCGUAAAACUCUGUUAUUAGGGAAGAACAAAUGUGUAAGUAACUAUGCACGUCUUGACGGUACCUAAUCAGAAAGCCACGGCUAACUACGUG